AGCGAACGCUGGCGGCAGGCCUAACACAUGCAAGUCGAACGAAUUCUUCGGAGUUAGUGGCGGACGGGUGAGUAACACGUGGGAACGUGCCUUUAGGUUCGGAAUAACUCAGGGAAACUUGUGCUAAUACCGAAUGUGCCCUUCGGGGGAAAGAUUUAUCGCCUUUAGAGCGGCCCGCGUCUGAUUAGCUAGUUGGUGAGGUAAAGGCUCACCAAGGCGACGAUCAGUAGCUGGUCUGAGAGGAUGAUCAGCCACAUUGGGACUGAGACACGGCCCAAACUCCUACGGGAGGCAGCAGUGGGGAAUUUUGCGCAAUGGGCGAAAGCCUGACGCAGCCACGCCGCGUGAGUGAUGAAGGUCUUAGGAUUGUAAAAUUCUUUCACCGGGGACGAUAAUGACGGUACCCGGAGAAGAAGCCCCGGCUAACUUCGUGCCAGCCGCCGCCGUAA
rnacentral:rRNA from 1 species